UGAGAUAUCCAGGGGGCCAAGCAAGCCAUUCAUUUACCCUCUCUUCAUCCCUCAGGAGGACAAGCCACUUUAAUUGGAAGAAUCACAAAUUGCUGUGUUGAAUCGAACCCGUAUAAUCAUUUGUAGGAACAGAAUCUGAAUACUGGGAAAGCACACCUUGGGAGAGCUAUUGAUCCCUGAGAACCCAGGAGGACUAGCAUCUUGGGAUGAACACCCGGACGGCUAUGAAGAUCAUACUGACC